GGAGGGAAGGUGUGAAGAUGAAGUGAGGGGAAGAGGGGAAAGGGAAAAGAGAAAGAGGGAAUGGAGAAAGGGAAGGUGGAGAGGAGCAGAGAGAGUAGCUGGGAACUGGGGAGAGACAAACGGUUGGAGGGAUCGAGAGGAUUAAAGGGAUGAGUGAGACAGAGUGAGAGAGGGAGGAGGCAAAGAAAUGGGCGAGAGGGAAUGAGGGAGAGGGGGAGAGAAAGGGGAUGAGGGGAGAGAGAGAGAGAGAGGGGAUGAGGGAGAGAGGGGAUGAGGGAGAAAGAGGGGAUGAGUCUCAAGGGGAGAGUUCCUGCCAUGAAUUCAAAACUAAUUCUACAGAAUUACCAGCGAUCAACUCCGAGAACUCAACGUUUCAAAAAUUAAAAAAAACGUACAUUGUCUUUCAAAGCGUAUUCACUAUGAAAUUGUUUGGUAUCUAAGAUUGCAAUCCGUAGUCAACACAUAAAAAAUAACGGGUUAAAAUGCUGUGAAGCUUGGUGCGGGUAUUUACAGGGGGUGGGGGGGGGUGAGCCGUUGAAUUCUCCGCAGGCGAGGAUGACUUUACAUCGCACUGGGCUUUGUCAAUACGAUCUGUGCAAUCCUCACUGCGUUAUCCUCACCGACACCCGGCAGCAAGUCUGUUGUAACACUGUACGUCUCGGUGUAAAGCCCCCACUGCCAGCAGGGUCACCGACCAGCACGUUUACACUGACACAUGUUGGAUAGGUCACUCUCCUUCCCUCCCUCUCUGUGCAAAUCUCCCUGCCUCGGUGUCCACCCCUACUGUCUUGAGUGUGCGUGUUUGUGAAUGUGUGUCUGUGUGGGCGAGCACAUGUGUGUGGGUGAGCAUGUGUUUGCAUGUGCGUUUCUGUGUAUGGCUCCAUGUGUAUGUGUGUGUGUGUGUGUGUGUGUGUGUGACUCUGCCUGUGUGCAUGUAUGUGUGACUGCCUGUGUGCAUGUGUGUGUCUGUGUCCUGUGUAUGUUUGUGCAUGUGCACUGCCUGUCUGUGGGCGUACGUGCAUGCUUGUUCGCGUGUGCGUGCACCAACACUCCCUCUCAGACUCACCCCUCAGCAAGGGGGUGGGUACAGGGUGAGAGGGGCUCCAGGCCAGGCGGGUGGGGUUCCCCGUCGCUCUAGCUUGGACCUUGCCCCUUGUCGUGGUGUUGACCCCGCCCUCUCCCUCUGACACCCCC